rnacentral:rRNA from 1 species
UGAGGAAUAUUGGUCAAUGGGCGAGAGCCUGAACCAGCCAAGUCGCGUGAGGGAAGACGGUCCAAUGGAUUGUAAACCUCUUUUGCCGGGGAGCAAAGAGCGGCACGUGUGCCGCGCCGAGAGUACCCGGAGAAAAAGCAUCGGCUAACUCCGUGCC